AAUUAUAAAAUAAUAAUAAAGUGAAAUAUAAUAAAAUAGUUAAGUGAAGAAAAGUGAAAAAGUAAGAAAGGAGGAAAGCUCUAGAAGGAAAACUGUUUUGCCCAAUCACAGCCCUUAUUUCAGUGACUGACUUUCCAAAGAGCCAAAGUUAGCAGCACUUUCAUAAGCCCCGCCCACAACCUUCAGCGGCGCUGCUAGACUGUCAGUUUGGGAGACAGAGCGGGAGAGUGAAAUGGAGCAGCUACACAGAGCGAUAUUCAGAGAUCCUCUGUUAUAAAGUUUUAAAAUAGAUCGCGAAUAACUUUGAAUGCAGUAAAUAGUCAUAUUUCUGAACGGAUUCGAUUACGUGAAGUUGUCAUUGGAGUGAGAGGACGACAAAGCGAAGAUUUGUGAACUGAAAGUGGAUGAAAUCCAACGGAGAAUUGGAGUGUUGCAAAUGAGCUUAUUUGAAUAUAUAUGAAGUUAUUGCCUUGGCUGGGUUUUUUUUGUCUAUGAUUUAUUCUACGUGAUUUCCUGUGAGAGAUUCCUGUUUGUGCCAUAUUUAAUCCUUCUGGAGAGGAAUCUGUGUAUCUGACGUGAUUAAAUAUGCACAAUGGCGAGCCACCAACGAACCUGUUUCCACUUUGAACUUUGCUAAAAUUCACCAACUGCUCAAACACCAAAGCAGGUUGUGGCCCGAUAUGAAAGAGUUCUUCGACACUUCAGCAGAGGAGGGACCAUGUCGGCUGCAUUCAAGCAGGUUGGGGUGGACCGGAACACCAUCAUAGUCAAUGCACCGAUUGCUGAAUUGUACAUCGCUGCUCCCUCCAAAUUUAAGGAACUCCUUAAAACCCACAGCAGUGAAGUUAAACUCAGUAUUUUUGCCACACAAUGUGCUGCUGUGAUUCAUGAGGAUCCAGCUAUAGAAGAUACUAUCAAAGCCUUUAAGGCUUCCGGUAAGCUGCUGCCUCUAAAAGGAAAGUGAACUGAUCUAGGAUCUGUAUUCAAGUUUUCACAAAAAGUUGUGUAAUGGACUGAAACACGUCCACAAUCUGCACUGCUGUUUUGAAGUGUUUAAAACGUUCUGUAAUGUUAAUACUGAGGUAGUUUUUACACGGUAAAAUAUUUUAUUAUAAUAUUUAUUUUAUUUGUUGUAUUUUAUAUGGUAUAUUUUUUUUUUUUUUAUGUUGCAUUAGCACUCCUGUAGCACUUUAAAAAAACAUUUUAUACCAUAUUGCGGAGGCUUAUGUUUACUGGAGGUGUA